CAAAAGCUGCUCUCUCCUUUGUGCUCCCCACUAGGAUUCUGCUUCUUGGACCCCACAGUGCUGCAGGUCACCCUGGAGAGCAGCCCCAUCUCACUGUGCCCAGGCUUCUGCAAUGAGAGGUGGACUAGAGGUAAAGAGAGGCUGACGGAGUUUCAGAAGCGAGGAAUUUUCCAUGCUCGUGCCACAACUGACAUCGAUGACCAAGCUCCAACGGACUUGAGGUGGGAAAAGGAUGGGGCUUUAGCAGUGACAGUUGCAACUGUGAGCUAUAAAAGCAGAAAUGCAGUUUUGCUUCACAGUAUGAAGCUAUUUUUAUAGAUUUCCAGAAUCAUCAGGCAUGAAAUGGUAAAUGGUUUUGCAGCUUGUCCAUCUCUCCUUACCUUGGCAAAAUUGCCUUUGUGAUCUAAUUAGCAGAUGAACCGAAAUGUUCGGGAACAAGAGAGCAUCCACGUUACAGCUCCUCAGAAAGUGUUAGAUGAAUUUAUUUUUGAUAAGCUAUAAAGUAAGCAUCAUAAAAGCUGUGGACCUCUAUAGAAGAGAAUCAAACACAGCUGUCUUUCCUCUGACUCUAGAGGACCUUGCUUGUGACAGAAGCCACUGGUUUGAGGCAAAUUAAUUUCUGGGCUGCUUUUGAAGAGGGCUUUUCAAUGCACUUUGUGCUCCAGUGCUCAGUUCUUGCAUGUUCUUGCUAUUUAAAGCUUCAAGGAACUUGGGGUGCUUGGAAACUGCCUUGCGGCAGACUGAGCUGUGAUAAUUAGGCACUUUCUUUUAUGGGGGAGUCAGGGACUCAGUACCGCUGAAUUGAACUGGGCAGCAGCUUCUGGCUGGAACUUUUUAUCUAAAGUUGCAACUUGCUGAAAAGGAAAAUUUUAUCAGGGAAG
rnacentral:lncRNA from 1 species